GGUUCGCUGACGUAAGACUCAUCGAAAAUAAACCUUACAAGCAUAUAUUUGGGGGCUGUCCCUGACAAUGGUGUGCAAGCUCACCUCGUAGUGAGAAGCCUAAAGUUGUUAUCAUGGCCACCCACCUUGCAAUCAGAG
rnacentral:sRNA from 1 species